CAGCGCCAGCCGCUCCCUGUGGCGCCUCCAGCCCGUUACCCCGUGGCGCCGUUACCUCCGCUGCUGGGGCGGGAGCCCGGCCCCAGGCGGCCCCGCAUCCUUCCGCCCAGGCCCACGAGCUGUGCCUCCCAUCUCCUAGCUCGGGACCCCGCGCGGGGAGAGGCGCCAGUUGGGGGUCCGGUCGGCCACGCCACCUACGCCGGGACGGCUGCCUCCGCGGCGCGACGCUCCCACGGGUACUCUCGACCAGACACUGCAGCUCAGCGCACUUUCGCUCCCGACUGGCCCCGGCUGGGAAGUGGGGAGACGCAGCUCCAGGGGCGGGAGGGGGAGCGGUCUGGUCGCCUAGCAACCGCGGCACGCCCCCGGGAAACGCCUCGGCGCAGCUACGGGCUGACGCACAGGGGCGGGGCCCGUGGCCGGUAAAGGCCACGCGGCGCUCCUAGCGGGUGCUAGUACUGGCGCGGGAGGCGGGAGGUUGGAGGCGAGGAGCUCGCGGCCUAGGCUGUUUGGGUCCCUGGCGCGAGCUGUAGACGGAGAGAGGGGUCCGGAGAAGGAGGGGUGAAAGUAGCAGUUAGCCCGCGAUCUCAGAAGGGCUGCCCGCCCCUCACGGUCCCUUAAUAGCACGUUGCGUCCUGGAAGUUCUAAAACGUCCCGCUUCAAUAUGAAUUUUAAAUUAGUGAAAACAUAUGUGUAUUGUUUUAGGCUUUCCCACCGCGGGGACGGCCCUCCGGGGGUUGACUUAGCUGGGAUGCAGAAUAGAAGCUGGGCCUUUGUCUGACUACCCUGCAACAGUCAGCCACAGACGGGAAGGCAGCGCAGGAAACUGAGGCCAAAGGAGCCGCGCUUCCUCAUGAGCAUGAAGCGGCAAAGCCUGAACUAGAAGCUUCUAACGCCUAACCGUCCUCUUGCCGCACCAGGACCUACCUCUGCAAGGCCCUUCCUGACUUUUUCCUUAGAAUGUGUGUAUAUGUGUCUUUUUCCUUUUCUGAUGCUAAGACACCUCAGAAACACCAAUGUUAAGCAGAUUUCCAUCGUUGGAGGUUAAAACACCCGAAUACAAGUGUUUUCUUGAGUGUGGCAUCUGGUCAGAUGUUUUAUGGGUUGGUUUGUUUUUAAAAAAAAAAAAUUUCCUGUUAGAUGGGUGGUAAGAACCAGUCAGAGUUUGUAAACCCACCAAGCACGAGGCGGUCGGACCGUCCAGAUUCUGGAGUCCAGAAGACACCAAACGUUCUCAGAAUGCCGAACGCGGGCGCCACCUGGUGGGACUAGAACGCUUAUUGUCCCAAAUCAGCAUAGCACACAGUUCCCAUAAAUCUUAAAAAUUCCCAUCCAAGGCUCAUUUCCGUGUGACUAAAAGUCAUAUUCUCUGUUCUCGUGACUCCAAGUAAAAAUGUCCCUAAAGAGCCAAAGUAUCUUCACUGUAUAAACUAAUAAUCUAUUGGUUUGGGGAAUUUUAUUUUUUGUGAUCAAUGUUACUUUAGCCUUUCUAUGAUAUACAUAUAAAUAAAAAAGUUUUCUUCCAUGAUGAUUUUUUAAAGUUUAUUUUAUAAAUAAACUUUUUCUUUUUGUCUCUCCCUUCCCCCACUUUGCAACCAGAGCAAUUCUGCUUUCACAGGGGUUUGUAUUUGGGCUCUUACGAAGCUUUUGUUUGAAGAAAGAGUUCCAUGGCAACGCAAAGAUUGGACGAGGUUACUGUUGAAGUCCCUUCCAG
rnacentral:lncRNA from 1 species